rnacentral:rRNA from 1 species
UACGUAGGGUGCAAGCGUUGUCCGGAAUUAGCUAGGGCGUGAAGGCCAGUAGGCGGCCAACUAAGUCGGAUGUGAAAUCCCCAGGCUCAACUUGGGAACUGCAUCCGAUACUGGAUGGCUUGGAUUCGGGAGAGGGAUGCAGAAGUUCCAGGUGUAGCGGUGAAAUGACGUAGAUAUCUGGAGGAAUACCGGUGGCGAAGGCGGCAUCCUGGACCGACAUUGACGCUGAACGGCGAAAGCAGGGAGCGAAACGGG